rnacentral:lncRNA from 1 species
AAGAUCCAAAUACCAACACUUGAUUUUAGUAAUGAGUGAAUAAAAAAAAUAAUGAGCUACCUCUAAUUCCGCGAUACAAGAGGAACCACCACACACUGAUACAUAUCGCAAUGAUGAAUUCUAAAGGCUGCACUUGAAGACCAGAUAGACAAAAAAUCACAACUAGCUGCAUUGCAAUACCUCCUUGGAAGUCUAGUCCACCACCCU